CAAAGCAGCCUAGCGCAAGGGAUGUUCCUGGCGGGCGCUGGCGGGCGCGGCGCGUACGCCGGCGCGGCGCUGCAGGGCCCGCUGGCGUACCUCGAGAAAACUGCCACUAACAUAGAUAUGGUGGGGCUGGGCGACGGACGCAGGUGACGCGGUCGCGGGAGGGGCAGGGGGCGCGGCCGCGGCAGAGGACGCGGGCGAGGCGCAUCCCCCGAGUAUGGCGGCAGCAUGACGCCGCCGUAGCGCCCCCUCCCGGCGCGGCGGCGACAACGCACACUCGCUUGACAUCACCUCGCUAUGUUGGCUAACCUGUUUUAUGUUUUUUUUUUUAUAAUUGUGAUCGGAGCCAUAAAGUUUGGAGGAAUCCGGCGAUAGGAUAUACAUAUAGAUGAUCAAGCAGGCUUGCCGCCUUUUUCUACUGACAAGAAUUGGUUGACCCACUAUAAUUAAUAACCCAUUUUAUAGUGUAUUUUUUUUUGACAAAAUGACUUAGAUACCAGCUCUUAAACCUAGAGCCUCCAAUCUUUUUUACUCGAGCGCUAAAGGCAAAGGGGCUAACGUGAAAAUCGGAUCAAUAUCAAUAUCGGAUCUUGUACAUUCGAGCGAUAGAGAGGCAUUUUUUUUCUUUUUUUUUCAAUAGACGAAUGAAAUUGUUAGCGUUUAUUCUAGUCUGCCUUUUCGCAGGCCGGUACAAUCCUUUGGCUCUCCUGACGGGCGAUGGCCUACUGCCCAUCUUCCCAAAAAAUCUAUUAUUUUAGACACGUAUUAAUUAAGUUUAUGAGUUUAUGAUCACAAUUAACACCCCAGUUAACCACAAAAUAUGUGGAAAGACCGUUUCAUUAUAGCCAUCGGCAAAAGCUCAUUUUUGACGUGAUAACGUCUUAUAAAUCGAUGAACACCGGUAGCAUGCACGAAAAAAUGUCACGUUGUGGACAAAUCUCCAUGGUAACGCUGUGGACAGAUCUCCAUGGUAACGUUACGGCCAAAGUAUGCAAUUUUUCAUCAAUGUUCUAUUGUUACGUUAUCACGCAAAAUUAUAUCGUCCGUAAACCGACUUUACAGACAACCAUAUUUUUUUACAACUAGCGAGGUCAUGUAAAGCGUUCAUCUCAUUCCAAAUCACUACUUAUAUUAUAAUCAGAUAUAUUAUAAACUGUAUAAAUACCUAUGCAACGGAACCGCACUGUACUUACAAUUUAUUUUUACGGUGUUGGCAUAUUUAAAAAAAUGGCUAUUUAAGACCCGUGGGGUUAUUUGGAAACGCAUUGAAUGUUAAUACCGUAAAACGGGGUGACUUGAACUCUUCGACUUUUCUUUAUUUUGUUAUUAACAGUUUACCAAAACCUAUCAAGCUAACUAGGUAAGAAUUAUAGCUAACUAAAACUAAUAAUGAUCGAGUACGGUUUUUAACUGACAAGCGUACGAGUAUCUCUACAUACGCUGAUAAAAAAGUAAAAUAGCAUCGGGUAAAUCGAACGUAAUGUCACGUGACCGUUUCUAUACAUUACAGUUAAAAUUUGUUUUAUCCUUUUCUUACAUUACAUAAGCCAAAGUGACAGAUAAGGACAUACUAUUAUUAGCUAAUUGCGGUUUGUGGCGCGUUUAUGAAUAAGAACCAGUCCCGACUGGUGUUUUUAAUAAACGAUUUUGAAACGGAGUAGCUCCUUAUUUUAAAUAAAAUCACCCCGAAUCCGGUAGGUACCAUUUGUAACGCUAAUUUCGUUUCAAAUAACCCCAGGGGAGGGGUCACAUUCUCAACCACACAUUUAAAAAUAUUCGUCGCUGCGACAAGUUAUAAUUUUAUACACUUCACAACAGCUGCAGUGUCUUCUAAAAAGUAUUUUAAGUUCAUAUUUUUUAAAUUAUUGCUACUAUAUAUAAAAACUGUCGUAUCACUUCGAGAUUAUUUGCCUAAUGGGUAAAUUAUAAGUCGCAAUGUUUAACAGAAUAUAACUAUUCCUUGCACAUAGUUACACUUAUGAUUAUAACCAAUGAGCUAACUAUUACUGAAUUUCCGGCAUUAUUAAGAUGCAAUAAAUGUCCUGUGCAUAAUCACUUGUAUAAAAUAGGAUUAAGACAUGUAAAAUGAGGUGAGUUAGCCAACGAAUUACUUACCUUUUAUUCAAUUUGUACACCCGUAUUUAUUAUUAUUUUCCGAGAUCGAAUAACUGAAUGUAAUGAAGAAAAUAUUUAUUAAGUAUAAUACUUUUAAGACUAGCUAGGUGUCUAAGUAGCCCCGUUUAUAAUAAUGGCUAAUGUCACCCCAUUUUACAGAAGCAGCAACAAAUAAUAAUUAUAAAUGUCGCAGCCAUUUGGUUAAGUUAGCGAACUAAUUAGUCGCCUAGGCCGAUAGAAAAUCAACAACUUGGCGUAUUGGAAACCAGCUCUUUGAAAAGAUUGGUUCAUUCAGCUAAGUGAUUUAAAUGUAAUCUAAAAAACUUAAAGAAAUUAAAUAACAUAAAAUAAAAUAAUAAAAAAUACAUAAUUACAUUACACCUUGUAAAACAAAGUCCCUCGCCGCGUCUGUUUGUAUGUUCUCGAUAAACUCAUAAACUACUGACUAUUUUCGUGCGGUUUUCACCUAUCAAUAGAGUGAUUUUUGAGGAAGGUUUAAAUGUAUAAUUUGUCAGGGUCGCUAGUUUACAAUAAAAUAUUAACCAAAAUAACUAAGUAAAUGACUACACGACGUUCAGGCAUCUCGUUAAACGUUGCUAUCAAUGAUUUGGCUGGUUGUUCUUCAGCCAACUAAUUUAACCAGUUGGCUGCGACAUAAACAUAACAAUAAACUAAAUUAUCUAGUCCCAAAUACCUAUAAGUAGGUAAAAAGAAGAUUAUAUCGGUAAGGAUUGAUAAAACGUCAGGUAAAUCUGGGAAAGGCUAACCUACAUUUUUUUAGCAUUACAAAAAAGGUAAACAAUCUUGAUGUAUCUUUUAAUUGAAAAACACGUUUAAAAAUAAGUCACGGCCAGUGAAGGGAUGUCACGGCAAAUAUGUAACAAUUAUGAAUCUAAUACGAUCAUUUAUAUUCUUCUGCUUUCGUAAGUAAUAGUUACUGAUUUUUUUAAAAGCGUUUUUCAACUAAAAGUAUUGUCAAGAUCCCUUACCUUCUUUCUAAUGCUAAAAAAAGGAACAAUGUACGCUUAAGCAAUAUAUCAUGCACUCAUUCGAAUAAAUAUUAAUAUGAAAA